AUGUUAAAAGCACUCCAUCCUCUCUUAUUUCUUUUUCUUACUUUUUUUCUUUAGAUUGUCUCCUCUUAGUGUGGGAAUGAGCAGAAUUUUGUGAACUGGAUAGGUAACUUGUUUGUGUUUUUUUAAACUCAUUUUGUAGGUGCACAAGGCUCGUGCAUACUGAAAUUGUAGAUCUUCACCCAUAUCCAUUCUGCCUGUGACAUGCACCGCCGGGGAGUGCAGUGAUGCAUUCAUGAGGACGCUGAUGAGGACAGCUCUCUGAUUCCUGGGCAGGUGUCACACCUGCAGAUCACGAGGCCUCCCAGAGCUUAUGCCUUCAGGCUAACCUGAAACAGAUACUGCCACCAGUGCAUGGUCCUCUUAGUCAACCUUGCAGCUCCA
rnacentral:lncRNA from 14 species